rnacentral:rRNA from 1 species
GAUGAACGCUGACAGAAUGCUUAACACAUGCAAGUCAACUUGAACUUCGGUUUGGGUGGCGGACGGGUGAGUAACGCGUAAAGAACUUGCCUCACAGUUAGGGACAACAUUUGGAAACGAAUGCUAAUACCUGAUAUUAUGAUUUUAGGGCAUCCUAGAAUUAUGAAAGCUAUAUGCGCUGUGAGAGAGCUUUGCGUCCCAUUAGCUAGUUGGAGAGGUAACGGCUCACCAAGGCGAUGAUGGGUAGCCGGCCUGAGAGGGUGAACGGCCACAAGGGGAAUGAGACACGGCCCUUACUCCUACGGGAGGCAGCAGUGGGGAAUAUUGGACAAUGGACCAAGAGUCUGAUCCAGCAAUUCUGUGUGAACGAUGAAGUUUUUCGGAAUGUAAAGUGCUUUCAGUUGGGAAGAAAAAAAUGACGAUACCAACAGAAGAAGUGACGGCUAAAUACGUG